rnacentral:rRNA from 1 species
CCUACGGGUGGCAGCAGUGAGGAAUAUUGGUCAAUGGCCGCAGGGCUGAACCAGCCAAGUCGCGUGAGGGAUGACGGUCCUAUGGAUUGUAAACCUCGUUUGUCAGGGAGCAAAGGGCGCCACGUGUGGCGUUUUGCGAGUACCUGAAGAAAAAGCAUCGGCUAACUCCGUGCCAGCUGACGCGGUAAUACGGAGGAGGAGAGCGUGGUCCGGAUUUAUGGGGUUUAAAGGGUGCGCAGGCGGAAUGUCAAGUCAGCGGUAAAAUUGCGGGGCUCAACCCCGUCGUGCCGUUGAAACUGGCGUUCUUGAGUGAGCGAGACGUAUGCGGAAUGCGUGGUGUAUCGGUGAAAUGCAUAGAUAUCACGCAGAACUCCGAUUGCGACGGCAGCAUACCGGCGCUCAACUGACGCUCAUGCACGAACGCGUGGGUAUCGAACAGGAUUAGAUACCCGUGUAGUC